rnacentral:ncRNA from 2 species
UUAGUGACUGUGAGAAGGAGCAGUAGUGAUUUUAGUCCCGCCAACAAGAGAGCUGGCGGUUGGUGCAAGCCGGCCGGGACCAUCAUGAACUCGCCUUUGAGUCGCAGGCGUGAAGUGCCAGUAAUGCCUGCCGUUUUCCGCGUUAAGGAUGAAUGAAGCGAGUGUUUACACACUAAUUUGGGUGGUACCGCGGGAAGAUCUCAAUCCUCUCGUCCCUUUA